CCCUCCUCUCUCUCCCAGAUCCAUACGCCGCCUCCGCCAUCGCCAUCCUCUCCCCUUCCCGCAGAUCCAAAACCACGGUGACGGUCGUGCGGAUCGGAAAGCCAUGGGAGCGGACCUCAUGGAUCCAUCUCCCUCACCCCCUCAGCCCCCAUGCACCCAUGCCCGCCACCCCCAACCCUCUCCCUCCCUCUGUGAUCUCGAUCGGCCCUGCUCUCCACCGCCCGCCUCGACUUCGCCGGAGAUAGAGGCGUCGCCGCCCAGCAACCAUGGCUUUCUUGCUCGCCGACGAGCACGGCGCUCCAUCAAUCUGGCCGGAUCCAGCGUGCGCGUGGCCUGUCUAGGGUCUCCGGCCACCAAGACGGGACAGCGCCGUCGGCUCCCUCGGCUCCGGCAACUGCGACCAGACCGGCGACUGGCAGCGGGCGUCUCUCCCAGGUAAUAGAUGAGAUCCAUCUCCCUCCCGCCUUUAUCCUUGGUUUGUUCUCGCUUGCCGCGUCAGAUCUGUUCAUGAUAUGCACUAGAUAGUGAUGCCGAGGUCAAGAGUUUGUUAGUGCUCGAUGGAUCUCUUCCGUAGGUUAGGAGCUGGAGGCUAUUUCUUGAUGAUGCCUCCAGUGCAGCAACAGUUGACACCCUCCUCGUCUUUGCGUAGUUGCAGUCCCCUGAAGCCAAUGCAUAAAUACAUGCAAGGUAUUUUUGUUUCUUGCGCACGUGAGUUAGUUUCAAUUGAACUAUAGAGCAUGGCUUACAAACGUAGUUGGGGGUGUCAAGUGCCUACCAGUGUAGCUGAACUUUGUGUAGUCGGAACAGGUUGCAUUUUGCAUUCGUUGGGGUACUUCGCCAUCAUACAGCAAUACCGAUCGAGUACGGAUGUUGUGGAGUACUACUUUAUAGUACUAGCAUAGAAGUGACAGAGUUUCAGAGCAAGGAACAACUGACAGGGUCGGUACUGGCGUAGAGUUCAGUACUCUGUAGUUUUACCUGAAUAGAGUUGUAGACUAUACUCUCUAGUUUUUGCUGAACAGAGUUAAAAGAUUGUACAAUGUGGUUUGUGCUGAACAGAGUUCUAUACUGCAUUCUAUAUCUUGUGAUGAACAGAGUGUUUCUAGAAGCAAAAGAUUCGUUCUGUUGGUAGCUUCAUGUGCUAAUGUGUGACCAACACGUGACUUGUUUGUAGCAUCUGUUGACAAAAAUGUCAGUCAUUAUAACUGACAGUGUGCCUUGACAUGUUUAUAUGUUAUCAUGCUUAGGAAUCAACUACUCUGUAUAUUUUUUGCAUCUCUGUCACAUCCAAUCGUGAUUCAGGAUGUACUAAUUCUUGUAUGCUAUCCUAUUCUUACCAGCAUAGAAGUGAAGUGUGUAGGACUGGUAUUAUGCCCCUGUGUUAUUUGUAUUCUUCACAGGUUACACGCAGUCAGUCUUCCAAGGUCUGUCGUGCGUCCUUCUAGUGUUCACAGCCUUCCAAGUUCAUGGGGGUCUUGUUUGUUUGUUCAUGUGAUGAUUCUUCUACACAUUUCAUAGUUUCUUAUACAUAGGCACUACAUUUUGGGUAAAUUCUGUGCAGAUUAUGAAGUAACUUGGGUGCCUCGGUAACCAUCUUCUUCGUUCUUUUGCAGUUGUGGAGACCACGGAUGGGACUAUCGUAGUUGCUUCUCCGUUUCACGGGCAUCAGGAAGCGGUACAUUACAGUGAUCACAAGUUUUUGUUGAAAGCGGUAGAAGAGGGAGUUGACUAUGGUCAUGGAGGCCUGUUUGGCUCCGACGCCAUGGAUGCCGCUGCGCUCUGUCAUUGUCCUCCUCCCUGACCCCUAGGCACAUCGGGCCGCUGUGCUUCUUCUAGUUUCACAUGUAGGCUUUUCAAAGUAUUUUGGAUGCUGAUAAUAUCAACUUAGUUCCUUGAAUGUGAUAUAUAGAUUCUUCCCUUGUUUUAACUGAUUGCCAGAAACUGUACAUUCCUGGUUGACAGUCAUGAACUUUUAUUGUUGGUAAUCUAAAAUAUUCUUCAUAUUUAGUGUCCAAAUACAGUCCAAAGAUAAAUCUUAGCUGUAAAUAUUCUGCAUAUAUAGUGUUCAAUUUGAUCUAUAAGAUCUGAGUUUAUUGUACUAUUAAUGGUGAUAAGAUUGCCGCUAGUAUAUUCUGUACAUUUCUUGUUUGGGUCUGGGCUAGAAAAUAAUGUCAGUUCUGCUCCAGCAAAACUUACCAGUUUCUGCCUUUCCCUACUUUAAACCAUCUGAAAAGGCUAGCAUGAUUAUUGAAGCCCAUGACCUUUUUCCCAUCCAUCCUCGAGCUUUUAUUUCUGGGGUUUACUUCAUCAGAACUUUGUGAUGAGUUACCAGCAAUGUCCCUUUACCGAAGCCCUGUCAUUGUAGUAGGGUUGCCUGCGGGGCAGUCGGCACAUGCAUGAUGUUGCAUUCCUGCCAAUCAUGUUUGCUUAGAUGUUUGGCUUCCUACUUUUGCAUUGUUUUGUAAUGUAUUGUUUUGUAUUGUCCGCAUCCGAGUCUCAGUCCUCCUGCACAGCAAGGAGCUGGACCAAGGGGCAAGCAGCGCUGCUGGUUCCUUGAGACAUGUGCAACACAUUCAACUUGUAGUACUCCAGCAAUCCAGUAAUUUUGCUUAGAGUAUUUAACAAGGUUGAACUAUACAUGUGUGGAGUAAUUUCGCUUGGAGUAUUUAACAAGAUUCAGCAAGAUUUAACUUACUUUUCCAGUUAAUUAAAUGGACAUCUUGGAUUAGUUAGAAAAUCAUGAAUUAUUUGCAGAAAUCCAUAGAAGUAUUGUACUCCAGUGAGCAUUACUUACAUAAACUUGCUUGCAAGCUUAUUUUCUGACUUGUAUAUUCUGAAACUGAAAAAGCUUAGUUAACUUCUGUUAAGUUUCGGUAAUAUUUAGUGGAGUAUUUACUGUAAAUUUUGCACAUCACAAUAAUUUCACUUGUUGCUAACUGCUGUAAUAUUCAGUGGGACCUUGAAAUCACAUAUUUGUUUGGGCAUGUGCUAUAUGUACCAUUUUAGUAGUCCACAUAUUUCUGUCCUGCUAGUCUUUUUUAAACUUCUUGUGAGAUUGAAGUAUUCGUUCUGAUGUCUGGUUUGCUGAUUGUUGUAGACAGAUGUAUGAAACCUCUUAACUGUGGACGACAACUACUUGAGAAGGACCAUCAUCACCCAUCAAGUACGCCAUUGAGGGCGUCCGUGGAAGGCCCAGUCCUGACUCUCAAGUGAGUCCGGCAUUUGAUCACUAUUGAAGGAGCUACAUGUAGAAGAAGAAAACACUUGUAGAGCUUUUCACUGAUUCCCAUAGUUGUAGAGAUUGUAAAUGCUACAGCUUGUAGGACGUGUCAUUUGUAGAGCUUGUAAAUAAGCUUGUAUAUGCCACAGCUUGUAGGACGUGUCAUUUGUAGAGCUUGUAUUGAAUCUGGCUAUUUUUAUUUGAAGUAUCAUGUGUGUUUUUUGCUUGUCAAA